rnacentral:rRNA from 1 species
GACGAACGCUGGCGGCGUGCUUAACACAUGCAAGUCGAACGGAAAGGCCCUGCUUUUGUGGGGUGCUCGAGUGGCGAACGGGUGAGUAACACGUGAGUAACCUGCCCCUGACUUUGGGAUAACUUCAGGAAACUGGGGCUAAUACCGGAUAGGAGCUCCUGCUGCAUGGUGGGGGUUGGAAAGUUUCGGCGGUUGGGGAUGGACUCGCGGCUUAUCAGCUUGUUGGUGGGGUAGUGGCUUACCAAGGCUUUGACGGGUAGCCGGCCUGAGAGGGUGACCGGCCACAUUGGGACUGAGAUACGGCCCAGACUCCUACGGGAGGCAGCAGUGGGGAAUAUUGCACAAUGGGCGGAAGCCUGAUGCAGCAACGCCGCGUGCGGGAUGACGGCCUUCGGGUUGUAAACCGCUUUCGCCUGUGACGAAGCGCGAGUGACGGUAAUGGGUAAAGAAGCACCGGCUAACUACGUG